GACGAACGCUGGCGGCGUGCCUAACACAUGCAAGUCGAGCGAGGACAUUUAGCAAUAGAUGUUCGAGCGGCGGACGGGUGAGUAACGCGUGAACAAUCUGUCCCAGAAUGGGGGAUAACAGAUGGAAACAUCUGCUAAUACCGCAUAAGACCACGAUGUCACAUGACAUUGAGGUAAAAGGAGCAAUCCGAUUUGGGGUGAGUUCGCGUCCGAUUAGCUAGUUGGCGGGGUAACGGCCUACCAAGGCGACGAUCGGUAGCCGGCCUGAGAGGGCGAUCGGCCACACUGGAACUGAGAAACGGUCCAGACUCCUACGGGAGGCAG
rnacentral:rRNA from 1 species